UUCCCCUCAAGUGCGAUGAAAUUUCAAAACUUGGCUCCCGGAUAGUGCGGCUCAGAAGCGGCUGAAUCACAGCCCGACGACCGCGGUGCAACGCGUUCAAGUACGCCACUCCAUCGGGUGGGUUGUCACGUUUGAAUGACAAGCGGCUGUGAAGGCUCCACGCGUGACGAGUGGAUGUUGCGAGGGUUGUAGAACUACUCACAAUGUGUAAUCCAUGCUGAGGCAAUGAUGCAGAUCGUCCUGAUCCUGACGGUCACGUGCCGAUGCGUCGAGCGCUUUGCCUGUUGUGAGCGCCUGUAAUGAUGCGAAGAGAAUUUUUUGACGCGG